UUUAUGAAGAGGUAGAAGCUUAUCUUUAUUUUUUUCCUGAAGUGUUUUGGCACCAGAAAUCUAAAAGCAUCUUCUUCCUGUUAUAAUGUGCUCCAAAUGCAUGAAGAAAAUUUGAAGAAAUGGCAGUGAAUCAGCCUUUCAGUUUGGCAAAAAACCCUUCAGUGAGAUGCAAAGUUGAAUGUUAUGUUUCUAUUUGAAGACCAUUCAAAAUAUAACUGCUAUGGCCUGAAAAGGAGAACGUGGCUGAUGUCUCCAUAGAUCUCACCUUGGAUUUGGCUUUUUGGUAAGCUUUCAUGAUGAAGAGAAACUCAGAAUCGCAUUGAUAAGACACCCUGGAAAGUUACUCCCUAUAAAAGUGGCAUCAUAUGAAGAUGUGAACAAUGAAAUAAUAAGGACUCUUGGGGCUGAAGAAGUCGGAGAAGCGUGCUCAGAAGAGUCCCAAGACGGAA